CCUACGGGUGGCAGCAGUGAGGAAUAUUGGUCAAUGGCCGGAAGGCUGAACCAGCCAAGCCGCGUGAAGGACGAAGGUGUCAAGCAUUGUAAACUUCUUUUGUCAAGGGACAAAAUCAGGCUCGAGAGCCUGACCGAGGGUACUUGAAGAAAAAGCAUCGGGUAACUCCGUGCCAGCAGCCGCGGUAAUAGGGGGUAUGCGAGCGUUAUCCGGAUUUAUGGGGUUUAAGGGGUGCGUAGGCGGACUGUUAAGUCAGCGGGAAAGGCCCGGGGCUCAACCCCGGCGAGCCGUUGAAACUGGCUGUCUUGAGAUGUCGAGAGGUAUGCGGAAUGCGCAGUGUAGCGGUGAAAUGCGUAGAUAUUGCGCAGAACUCCGAUUGCGAAGGCAGCAUACCGGCGGCGAUCUGACGCUGAGGCACGAAAGCGUGGGUAUCGAACAGGAUUAGAUACCCCAGUAGUC
rnacentral:rRNA from 1 species